GUCUACGGCAGACCACCCCGAGCAUGCCCCAUCUCAGCCGACCUCGGAAGCUAAGGAGGGUUGGGCUUGGUUAGUAUCCAGUUGGGACAGGGCCCAGGUGCCAGGAGGUG
ensembl:rRNA 5S_rRNA 5S ribosomal RNA